CGUGAGUGAAGAAGGUUUUCGGAUCGUAAAACUCUGUUGUUAGAGAAGAACGUUAAGUAGAGUGGAAAAUUACUUAAGUGACGGUAUCUAACCAGAAAGGGACGGCUAACUACGUGCCAGCAGCCGCGGUAAUACGUAGGUCCCAAGCGUUGUCCGGAUUUAUUGGGCGUAAAGCGAGCGCAGGUGGUUUCUUAAGUCUGAUGUAAAAGGCAGUGGCUCAACCAUUGUGUGCAUUGGAAACUGGGAGACUUGAGUGCAGGAGAGGAGAGUGGAAUUCCAUGU
rnacentral:rRNA from 1 species